GCCAGUUUUUUGGAUUCCAGCCCCUAUCCUCCCCUCCCACGUCUGGAACAGGCCCUCCCAAGAGCCUUCAACCAGUUUCCACUCCCUCCAGGACGACAAAGAUUCUAACAGCUUCAAAAUAUAUGCAGAGCCUGACCACUUCUCACUACCACCACAGUCACCGCCCAGUUCCAAGCCACCAUCAUCUCUCACUUGGGUGACUGCAACUGCUUCUGCCCUUGAGCCCAGCAAACCAUCAUUCUCAGCAAACUAUCGCAAGGACAAAAAACCAAACACCGCAUGUUCUCACUCACAGGUGGGAAUUGAACAAUGAGAACACAUGGACACAGGAAGGGGAACAUCACACACUGGGGACUGUUGUGGGGUGGCAAGGACAGAAUCGCCACCUUUUUUUCUAUGUCUCCAAGACAGCCAAGAGUCCAUGCUUCUUACCAAACACUUCUCUGCUUGAGAACUCUAUAUUCUCGUGCCACUUAUCCUUUCUGCUAUGAUCCCUGUCACGGCAGAUUUUAUGGCAUCUCAAUCUGGAAGGCAGAACAGCAGGGGGGGUAAUUAUAUGGAUUAUCUAGAAGAGUGAGCAUAGAGCACCUGGCACACCAUAGAUGACCAGUAAAGCUAGUUCUAUUUCCACUUCUCCUGCAGGCCUGCAGACACCCUGUCCUUCCUCACCCUAACCACCAUGGCUCUGGAGAACCUAGAGGCGACUAGUGCUCACAAUGGGCUUCAUUCACAGAAUGGCUCCAGCCACUGACUUUGUUUCAAUUCAGCCCUGAUACUUUAGCUUAGACUCUUGGUUGUGCAUUUACAAGCCCCCUGGAGCCAGCUUAAACAAAAGGGAGAGUUUAUUAAAGGAACCAGCCAUGUUUCCAGGGGAAAGGGACGAAGUUUUCUAUGCCUCUUCACAUGCUCUGCAUUCUUGCUCCCUCUGUUUUUCUACACAUCUGAUUCUUCUCCUCUUGUACCACAGACUGGCUGCUUCUGCCCCCGGUCCAUGUGGCGGAAUAGGGAUGCCCAUGGUUUCAUGCCUCCUCUGUCCAAGACAUCAGCCAAUUCCCCCUGGGGCGAAGGGGAACGGUCUCUGAUUGACCCACCCAUCACAAUGAGAGAAGAAAACAUUCUCCAGAAGUUGCCUUUGGCAAAGGUUUUAAGGUUAUAUGUCAGCCCAGUGGUUGUUUAGACUGUGAUGAAAAGAAAAUAGAAGAAAUAAUAUGGAAAAAGUCAACAGACCGUGAGAUGUGGAGAAGAUUAUCAAAGGGUAGCACCUUAUGUUCGAGCCCAUGACCCAUUUCCAAUCCUUAGCCUGGGCCUGGCUCCUGUUGAGAUCAAGGUGAAAACUGGCCAUGUCCUCAUUUCUGGGCAGGGAUGAAGAUUCAGGCCUGACCUAUAGCUUUACCUUGGAUUUGUCAUUUCCCUCUCUGUCCCGGGUUCAAUGAAACCACCUGCUCUGUUCACAAUCUCUCCAUUGGCCAACAAGCCCUCUGGUGGUCCUCCAUGCUUCCUCCCAGGGCUGAGGCAUAAAAUCUGCCUCAGUGGCCUGUUAUCACACAGCUGGGAGGACAUCUGGGGAGGAACGAGGCCAAGACAUCCUGGUUCCUUCUCUUCUCUCAUGGGGGAACAGGUGGAUGGGCUUGGUGCUGAUCCAUUAUUUCCCACAAGCAUGGGGCUGGAGCUCUGUUUUUGCCUUACAGGGUGGGAUGUUCCAUGGGGGAGAUGGGAAAAAAUUUGCCAAAGAGGAUCUAGCCCUGCUUCUGAGCCAGAGGAGCCCAGCCUGGACCUGGGCCUGGGGCAGGGGGUGGAUUCCUGCCAUUUUCCCACACUCUGCAUAGAGAUUGGAUUUCCUGUUGAAAUUGUAUCUUUGGAUUACAAUCGUAAAGUUCCCAGCUUCUCAACUCAAGCUGUUUGCAGCAGCUCUGUGUAGCCUAAGUCAUCGUCAUUACUCUAUUGGGUUCUGGGAGGGAAGAUCCGGAGUAUAGUGGCCAAAUGCACAAGCUAUGGGGUCAGAGAGACCCGAAUUCAAAUCCUGAUUCUGUUUGAGACCAGCCUGGCCAAGAUGGUGAGACCUCGUCUCUACUAAAAAUACAAAAAUUUGCUGGGCGUGGUGGUGCGCGUCUUAUAAUCCCAGCUACUCGGGAGGCUGAGGCAGGAGAAUUGCUUGAACCCAGGAGGUGAAGGUUGCAGUGAGCUGAGAUCGCGUCACUGCACUCCAGCCCAGGGACAGAGCGAGACCAUGUCUCAAAACAAAUAAACAAACAAAUCAAAUCCUGGCUCUAUAUUAACUAGCCAUGAGAUUCCGAGUCAAUUAACCUCCCUGAGCUUCAGGUUCCUCAUCUAUUAAAUGGGUCAAAUAAUAUCUGUCUCAUAGGAUUGCUAUGAAGAUUAAAUGAGAUAAUGCAUGUAACACACUGAGCACAGUGCCUAGCAAAUGAAAAGCGCCCCAAAAUUGAUUGUUUUAUAUUACUAUCUCAUUGUUAUCUACCCACUCCACUAUGUGGGUUUAUAGAGGAAGGAGUCAUGGCCUCUGCCCUUGGCAGCUCCCUGUCCUGAUGGAGGAGACACAGUGCUGCACUCGACAACCCACUGGUUGGUUGGAGGAAACAUGGGUCUUGCCUCAGGGAGCUCCCAUUUUAGUGGAGGAGAUGAGCCCCAGCCUGUUCUUCCUGAGUCCUCUAUUUUCCUGGAUCCUUGCUCAUGAGCCGUGGUAUGCCCUCAGCCUGCCCCUCUGCCACCAGUCCACCCAUCUCCUCCCUUUUCCCCUGCAGCCAGGCCUGCCAUCUCUAGAAAGCCCCCAUCUCUCCUUUCUGUGUCCUUGGGCCCAGGUGUCCUUGGGUUACUGGGUGACUUGCUUUUCAGGUCCUGCCUGUGUGUGCCAAGCUUGUUCUCAAGAAGCAUCUCCCCAGGAUGCUAGUUCCUCUCUAAACACCGCCCAGAUUGCAGACACAAAAAUUAGACCUGUCGGUUUGCACGCUGUCUGCCUUAAAUUUGCAUUUGAUUAAGAAGCACCAGCGUCCUCCCACCCAUGGUUCUUCCUUCCCAACCUUCUUCUCUUUGAAGUGCUCCCCCCGCACCCUGCCCCACCAUUCUCCCAGCUCUCUCCCUUUGCUGUGCUCAGGAAAUCCUCCAGUUGGGCUCCUCUCCGUUGCCUCGGCCACUCCCGCAGAUCUGCUUGGCAUUCUCUGCUUCUGGCCUCUUUUCCGAGGCCAGCUCUGCAGAGUUUGCCUGGGUACAAUGUGUUCUCAUUGUGCCUCCAACAGUGUCAGUUCCUGGAGCUCACUGUCAGGAAUCCAGCAGCUGGCUUAGAAAUCAGCUGCCUUUGCUGAGGGCUCAUGGAGAUGGGGUGAGGCCUAUCCUCCAUUUCUGUCCGCACUAGCCACAAGCACUAGCUCAUGUAGGAAACCACUAGAUGCAGAAUAAUCUUUGAAAAGCCCUCUCCUCUACUCUUCCCAUCUCAGUCUCUCUCUGGAGGGGUGAGGGCAAGAGCACCCCACCCCCCCCACUGCCCACCACCUCCUGAGGUCAGCUGGAUCACCUUCACUCCUCCCUUGGCUGAAAGACAAAGAGAGGGUAAGACCAGGGUGCUUCUUAGAACACCUGGCUCCUUUACUGCAGACACACCUUUGGAGAAUCAUCAUUAAGAUGACUGAAUUGCCUCUGCCUCCCUGCCCACUCCCAGCCCGACAGUAAACCUGCUGCUGCUUGGAGUUUUUCUACCAUCUACGUUGCAUCCUCCCUCAUCUCUCAAUUAUCUGUGCUAGUGUUAAAAAAAAAAGCCAUUCCAUCUGCCUCAAACUGCUCUUCUUAAGAUUUUGGGAUAGCAGUUUUCCUCUUCUGGUUUCCAGUCACUUUUGACUAUGACUGGUACCCAUUUUGAUUCCUUGAACUCACGUGUAAAGGAAGUGAAGGAGCAGGGAGCUCCGAGGGAGUGGGCAGCUGAAGGCCACUCACCCAUCGGUAAGUCCCUCUGAGGUCAGAGGGAGCGGGUUGCCAGAGGGAAUGAGCCCCAGAAUCCCACCAUUCUCAUAAACAGCCCACCGCUCUAAUCGCUCCUUCCCCAGCAACACUGGGCCUCCGAUCUGCCCAUGGAGAAGGCUGGGAAGCCAGCACCUCCUUCUCCAUCUCUACCUCCCUCUUGCUUCUUGGCUCCCAUAUGUUCAGGGAAUGCAAACUGACACUAGUAUCAGCCUGAGCCAGGCAUAAUUGGAAAGGGAAUCUUUCCCCACCCCCAACCUUGUCUUGCCUCCCUCCUUACAAAAAAAAAAAUAAAUCAUAUAUUAUCUCAAGCAGCUCUGUUAUGUAGGAAACAUAAGUCUGGAAGAAAAGACAGAUGGGGUGGGGGAUGGUUUAUGAGGGCGGUCGAGCAACUGUCCUUUAUAUCCACUGAGGAGAGAUCAGGAGAAAAUGAUAGUAACAAGAAGAGCAAGAAGGACUGAGGUUAGACUUUAAGAACUUGCCUUUAUGAUAAAUAAGAGCCAGGAGUGAUGGGCGGAGGAAGCCAGGGCCAUCUCCCUCCAUGCCUAUCUCCCCAGCAGCCCACAUCCUUGGCUUACUGCCUGCCUGGAAGAUGUUGCCUACCUGUACCCUGGGGGAGAAAGAGCAAGUGGGACAGGGCUGCUGAAUAUUCUGCCUUUCUCCUGGGUGGGAGCGGCCUU
rnacentral:lncRNA from 1 species